rnacentral:rRNA from 1 species
ACUUUACAAUGCUGGCAACAGCGAUAAGGGGACCUUGAGUGCCAGGAUACAAUCCUGGCUGUCGUGAUGCCUAAAAAGCAUUAUAUAGCAAGGGCCGGGCAAGACCGGUGCCAGCCGCCGCGGUAACACCGGCGGCUCGAGUGGUAACCGCUAUUAUUGGGUCUAAAGGGUCUGUAGCCGGCUUGGUUAGUCUCUUGGGAAAUCCGGCAGCUUAACUGUCGGGCUUUCAGGAGAUACUGCCAGGCUCGAGACCGGGAGAGGUGAGAGGUACUUCAUGGGUAGGGGUGAAAUCUUGUAAUCCUUGAAGGACCACCAGUGGCGAAGGCGUCUCACCAGAACGGAUCUGACGGCAAGGGACGAAGGCUAGGGGCACGAACCGGAUUAGAUACCCGGGUAGUCCUAGCCGUAAACGAUACUCGCUAGGUGUCGGCCACGGUGCGACCGUGGUCGGUGCCGUAGGGAAGCCGUGAAGCGAGCCACCUGGGAAGUACGGCCGCAAGGCUGAAACUUAAAGGAAUUGGCGGGGGAGCAC